UACGAAGGGGGCGAGCGUUGCUCGGAAUUACUGGGCGUAAAGCGCACGUAGGCGGCUUUCUAAGUCAGGGGUGAAAUCCUGGAGCUCAACUCCAGAACUGCCUUUGAUACUGGAGAGCUUGAGUCCGGAAGAGGUGAGUGGAACUCCGAGUGUAGAGGUGAAAUUCGUAGAUAUUCGGAAGAACACCAGUGGCGAAGGCGGCUCACUGGUCCGGUACUGACGCUGAGGUGCGAAAGCGUGGGGAGCAAACAGG
rnacentral:rRNA from 1 species